rnacentral:sRNA from 1 species
AUGUACCACUCGUGCACUGCUGUUCCGGGCGCGCUGUCGGCGCCCACCUGAAGACUGUUCGCAAUGCUUGUUAGCC